CAAAAUACCGGGCUGACCAAUGGGAAAGGGAGGAUGGAUAUAAAAACCUAGUCUGACCUCCACUCAGUGCCCUGUCGUGGUUUCCCAUGUUGUUGUCCGAGAGCGCGUUCCUGUUUAUAGUUUUCUACUGGUUUUUGACUUUGGCUUUGCUUAUUGACUUCUCUGUAUUCUGGUAUCCUGACUCCUGGCUUUCCUCAUCGUUGCAUCCCUUUCUGUGUUCCCUGACCUCGGCUAGUAUUUUGACUAUUCUAUGUACGUUAAAUCUGGCCAUUCU